GGAGGUGCUCAAAACUCAGUAAUCAGUCAUAGAGCCCCAUGCCAGAGCAAACUGGCCCUGAACCAUUGCCUGGCCCCCACCUAUAGGCUGCUGGCACCAAAGUGGGUCGUACAGUG
rnacentral:snoRNA from 1 species